UUGCAGGACUGUCAAUAUAAACAUUGUUGUAGCACUGACUAUCAAUAUAAACAUUGUUGUAGCACUGUCAAUGUAAACAUUGUUGCAGCACUUACUGUCAAUAUAAGCAUUGUUGCAGCACUGACUGUCAAUAUAAGCAUUGUUGCAGCACUGACUGUCAAUAUAAACAUUGUUGCAGGACUGUCAAUAUAAACAUUGUUGCAGCACUGACUGUCAAUAUAAACAUUGUUGCAGGACUGUCAAUAUAAACAUUGUUGCAGGACUGUCAAUAUAAACAUUGUUGCAGCACUGACUGUCAAUAUAAACAUUGUUGCAGGACUGACUGUCAAUAUAAACAUUGUUGCAGCACUGACUGUCAAUAUAAACAUUGUUGCAGGACUAUCAAUAUAAACAUUGUUGUAGCACUGUCAAUGUAAACAUUGUUGCAGCACUGACUGUCAAUGUAAGCAUUGUUGCAGCACUGACUGUCAAUAUAAGCAUUGUUGCAGCACUGACUGUCAAUAUAAACAUUGUUGCAGGACUGUCAAUAUAAACAUUGUUGCAGCACUGACUGUCAAUAUAAACAUUG